CGUGGGAGCGAGCCUGCUCGCGAUGGCGGCGGUUCAGUAAUACCUUCAUCAGCCGACAGACCGCCAUCGCGAGCAGGCUCGCUCCCACA
rnacentral:misc_RNA from 1 species